AUGGGCGCGCCGCAGCUCGGACUCCCUGUCGAACAGGCUUGCCUUGAGGAACAUGACCUCGGACUUGGCGCUCGCGAGCGCGGCGGCAAGCUUGCCAUGCCGCAGGUCGGACUCGACCUUGAUCUGGUCCAUGAGCUCGUAAGCGCAUUGCGUCUCGACGGUGCUCAGGAUCUUCUCUUCCUGGAACCUGGCCUCCACGUCCUCCAACGCCGACCGCAGCUCGGCGGCCUCCGAGUCCGAGCAGUUGCAGCGCUGGCCGGAGGCAGCGGCCUUUGCCGACGUCGUCUCCGCCACCUCCUCCUCGAGGGCCUUGAGCUUCGCGCGCGACUCCUCGAGCUCCGUGACGACGAGGCUGAAGGAAUCCAUCAGCUUGGAGCCGUCGGUGAGCAGCGAGUCGAUGGUGGCCCGGCUCGCCUCCAGCUGCUGCUUGCACUCCUCAUGCAACGCUCGCGCCUGCGCCUCUGCCUCCUCGCUCGCCGACAGCUUUGCCCUGAGCUCGUCGACGGUCGCCAGCGCCUCCGCCACCUCCUGCUUGCGGUCGGCGCGGGCCGCCGCGGCGAGCUGCACGCGGAGGCGGUGCACCUCGCCCAUGGCCGCGACGAGCGCGGCCGAGUCCGCCUCGUGCUGCUUCUGCAUGGCCUCCAGCUCCGACUGCCACGAGCGAUCGCGCUCCUGGGACAGCCGGCGGAGCUCGAAGAUGCGGGUCUGCUCGACGGAGGAGAGCUCGGCGAGCUGCGCCUGCGAGUCGCUGGCCCGCGCCGACGCCUCCGCGGCCUGCGCCCUGGCCUCCUCGGCCUCUUGCAGGGCACGCUUCCUGGAGUUCUCGGAGGAAUGGAGCUGCUCCUUGGCCUUCUUGAGGUCGUCCUGCAGCUGCGAGAGCUGGGACUCCAGCUCCGACAGCUUCAUCGGCGACCUCCUUUUCUGGUGUUAUCAAAUUCAGCAAAAAGAUUAGUGGUGCGUGCCAAACUCCAAUCAACAAACUCAUCGUGGUUUCACUUUCAACAAUGGCAUGAUUAG
rnacentral:rRNA from 1 species